rnacentral:rRNA from 1 species
AUACGGAGGGUGCAAGCGUUGUCCGGAUUUAUGGGGUUUAAAGGGUGCGUAGGUGGUUUUUUAAGUCAGUGGUGAAAGCCUACAGCUUAACUGUAGAGGUGCCAUUGAUACUGGGGAACUUGAGUAUGGACGAGGUAGGCGGAAUUUGUGGUGUAGCGGUGAAAUGCAUAGAUACCACAAGGAACACCGAUAGCGAAGGCAGCUUACUGGGCCAUAACUGACACUGAGGCACGAAAGCGUGGGGAGCGGACAGGAUUAGAAACCCUAGUAGUCC